rnacentral:misc_RNA from 1 species
GUGAAUCAUCGAAUUUUUGAACGCAAAUUGCACUCUCUGGUAUUCCGGAGAGUAUGCCUGUUUGAGGGUCAGUUUAUAUAAAAAUCGGUGUGGUUGCUGCCUUUCGUCCUGACGCCGCGGAGUUGGGUCGUCUUGCCUUCGGUUAAGUGACCUAAACUGUUGCAUGAUUUUUGUGAACGU